UCCUGCAUGUACACCAAACAUGCUGGCUCUCUGUGCAGAUGGCAACCGAAAACAAUACAGAUUUCGACAGUCAAAGGGGUCAGAGGAGCCAUAUUUUGAUGGCACUUUCAUUGCCAAGGAUUGUGACGUACAUCAUUUUGUUGAGGACGUCCAGAGCAAAAUGAAAAGUACUGCUGGCAGAGGAAUCUGUGGAGCCAGUAAGUGGUCUGCUGCACGAGAGACUGCCCGAAGAGCAAGCAAGCUAGAUGAAGAGGGCCUUGAAGUGGUUGUUUGCAGACAUGGAGUGCUGCUCAAGGCUCUCAAAAUGUA